CAGCCGCCGCGGUAAUACCGGCGGCCCGAGUGGCGGUCACUAUUAUUGGGCUUAAAGCGUCCGUAGCCGGGUUGGGAAGUCCUCCGGGAAAUCUGGCCGCUUAACGGUCAGAAUGCCGGAGGAUACUCCCAGCCUAGGGAGCGGGAGAGGCCGAGGGUAUUCCCGGAGUAGGGGUGAAAUCCUAUAAUCCCGGGAGGACCGCCUGUGGCGAAGGCGCUCGGCUGGGACGCGUCCGACGGUGAGGGACGAAGGCCAGGGGAGCAAACCGGAUUAGAUACCCGGGUAGUCCUGGCUGUAAACGAUGCGGACUUUGUGUCGGACAAGCUAUGAGCUUGUCCGGUGCCGGAGGGAAACCGUUAAGUCCGCCGCCUGGGGAGUACGGCCGCAAGGCUGAAACUUAAAGGAAUUGGCGGG
rnacentral:rRNA from 1 species